UUUUCUCGAAUGUGAGUAAAGGUUGGGCAUGUUUGCUAGUCUACCUUGCCACGAAGCACAGAGGUUGACACAGGGACUUUCCAAUUAUCCAGCAGUGGUACUGUUCCUUUACAGUUGUGGGUAAUAAUAUGGUAGCUAGACCUUCAAAAUUUAUGUGUCUAAACUUUUGUUAGUGCUGUUUCUUUGCUAUUCUUUUACCUUUCUUGGUCAGAGCGAUGUAGUGGGAGCUGCAAGCUUCACGUGCUCAACUUUGGCAGAGAACUUUGGCAAAGUUAUUUGUGGUACCCAUGAGCUAUUGUUGCGUGUGGGAAGUGGGUGAUUGAACAGUAAGAUUCAUGUGCUUUCUACUUCACCAGAAGUCUUCGACAGAAUGCCCAUAAUUUCUGCAAAGCUGAGUGUGCGUGUGACAGGUGCUGACAAGGCUAGAAAAGUAGGUGCCUCUUCGAUUUCUGAGAUCGGCCCUCGUGGUCUCUGAGCAGCCCAGCUUUUGAGAAAGCGAGCGCCUCUUCGAUUGAUUCGGAGAACGAUGCCUCAUCGAUUUUUGAGAAAGCAAUCAUGCUGGGGGUCUGGCUCUCGAGAUUCGGGGAGCAGUGUCUCUUCGAUUUUUGAGAAAGUAAUCAUGUUGGGAGUCUGGCUCUCGAGAUUCGGAGGGCGGUGCCUCUUCGAUUUUGGAGCAAGCAAUCUUGUUGGGAGUGUUUUCUCGAAUGUGAGUAAAGGUUUGGCACGUUUGCUAGUCUACCUUGCCACGAAGCACAGAGGUUGACACACAGGGACUUUCCAAUUAUCCAACAAUGGUACUGUUCCUUUACCCUCUCUUCGAUUUUUUAAGAAAGUAGUCAUGUUGGGAGUCUGGCUCUCGAGAUUCGGAGGACGGUGCCUCUUCGAUUUUGGAGCAAGCAAUCUUAUUGGGAGUGUUUUCUCGAAU
rnacentral:lncRNA from 1 species